rnacentral:tRNA from 1 species
GGAUCGGUAGCUCAGUGGUAGAGCGUGGGAUUGCAGCUAUUUGUUUCUGUAAUUAUCCUAAGGUCACGUGUUCGACCCACGUUCGGUCCU